ACGAACGAAAAAGGGAGAGAGUGGGGUGAGAGAAUGAGGGAAUUAGAGAGGUAGAAACGGAACGAACGAAAUAGGGAGAGAGUGGGGUGAAAGAAUGAGGGAAUUAGAGAGGUAGAAACGGAACGAACGAAAAAGGGAGAGAGGGGUGAGAGAAUGAGGGAAUUAGAGAGGUAGAAACGGAACGAACGAAAAAGGGAGAGAGUGGGGUGAGAGAAUGAGGGAAUUAGAGAGGUAGAAACGGAACGAACGAAAUAGGGAGAGAGUGGGGUGAGAGAAUGAAGGAAUUAGAGAGGUAGAAACGGAACGAACGAAAAAGGGAGAGAGUGGGGUGAAAGAAUGAGGGAAUUAGAGAGGUAGAAACGGAACGAACGAAAAAGGGAGAGAGUGGGGUGAGAGAAUGAGGGAAUUAGAGAGGUAGAAACGGAACGAACGAAAAAGGGAGAGAGUGGGGUGAGAGAAUGAGGGAAUUAGAGAGGUAGAAACGGAACGAACGAAAUAGGGAGAGAGUGGGGUGAGAGAAUGAAGGAAUUAGAGAGGUAGAAACGGAACGAACGAAAAAGGGAGAGAGUGGGGUGAGAGAAUGAGGGAAUUAGAGAGGUAGAAACGGAACGAACGAAAAAGGGAGAGAGUGGGGUGAGAGAAUGAGGGAAUUAGAGAGGUAGAAACGGAACGAACGAAAUAGGGAGAGAGUGGGGUGGGAGAAGGACGGAGGUUGCAGCAAGACGGCAGACAUGUUUUCCACAACAGCUGUUGAGCAAACAGAGUGAAGGGGUAGAGGCAAAUCCUACCACCUGCCCUUGUUUUACAAUGACGCCAGGUGACCAAUCAUACUCAGCCAUCAUGCUGCUCACCCUGCCCCACCUGACCACCUGGCCAAUCAAAUCAUUACCUCACAUAGGGGUUGUGACACGUACAAUAUUCCACUUAAUUGACGACCAUAAAUCAUUUUACACUUCAGUCAACCUUAAUGGACUUAUUAGUCCUACUUAUUCAUUACUUCUCAAACCUACUACCUAUAUAGGUCUCUACUUUGACACCCUAUUCCCUAUAUAGUGCACUACUUUGACACCCUAUUCCCUAUGUAGUGCACUACUUUGACACCCUAUUCCCUAUAUAGUGCACUACUUAGACACCCUAUUCCCUAUAUAGUGCACUACUUUGACAUCCUAUUCCCUAUAGGGCAAUCAUUUUGACCAGAGCCUGUUCUGAUCAACUGUACUGCACUAUAGGAAGCAAUAGGGUGUCUUUUGUGAUUGUCACCUCAGCCAACUGAACUGUGUCCAUCUAGCCAACCAAGUAGUAUUCAAUGGUGACAUUUUGAGCAACAUGUGUUUAAGGAAUUUUUUACAGUCCAUUGAAGAGUCAUUGGUAGAUCAAGGCUAGUGUGUGUAUGCUUGUGUGUGUAUGUGCGUGCAUUUGUGUGUGUGUGUGAGUAUACUUGCAUGUGUCCAUGUUUGCACUUGUUUGUAUGUGUGUAUAACAGAUCCCUUUUGUCCUUUCCACUCCUCACACAUGCUGCGUUUACCAUUAUAUAAUCACAGCAGAACCCAGAACUGACACAUCCUCUGGUGGGGAAGAACACAGGAAGAGAAAUAGUAACAGCAGUACAACUGUGUAGUGAUUGGUUCACUGAGACAUAUAGAGAAAUAGUAACAGCAGUACAACUGUGUAGUGAUUGGUUCACUGAGACAUAUAGAGAAAUAGUAACAGCAGUACAAC
ensembl:lncRNA